GUCCUAGCCGUAAACGAUGGACACUGAGUGAAGGAGGGCUUGCCCUUCUUUGCUGCAGCUAACGCGUUAAGUGUCCCGCCUGGGGAGUACGGCCGCAAGGUUAAAACUCAAAGGAAUUGACGGGGGCUCGCACAAGCGGUGGAGCAUGUGGUUCAAUUCGAUGCAACGCGAAGAACCUUACCCGGGCUUGAAGUGGAGGUUGUAGAAACCGGAAACGGUAACGACCCCGCAAGGGGAGCCUUCAUCAGGUGUUGCAUGGCUGUCGU
rnacentral:rRNA from 1 species